UACUGCUAUCGAGGUUCGACUAAGCCAUGCGAGUCGAAUGUAGCAAUACAUGGCGAACUGCUCAGUAACACGUGGACAACCUGCCCUUAGGUUGGGUAUAAACCCGGGAAACUGGGUAUAAUACCCGAUAGGUCUCGAUUGCUGGAAUGCAUCGAGAUUUAAAGCUCCGGCGCCUAAGGAUGGGUCUGCGGCCUAUCAGGUAGUAGUGGGUGUAGCGUACCUACUAGCCUACGACGGGUACGGGUUGUGAGAGCAAGAGCCCGGAGAUGGAUUCUGAGACACGAAUCCAGGCCCUACGGGGUGCAGCAGGCGCGAAAACUUUACAAUGCUGGCAACAGCGAUAAGGGAACCUCGAGUGCCAGGUUACAAAUCUGGCUGUCGAGAUGCCUAAAAAGCAUUUCAUAGCAAGGGCCGGGCAAGACCGGUGCCAGCCGCCGCGGUAACACCGGCGGCUCGAGUGGUAACCGUUAUUAUUGGGUCUAAAGGGUCUGUAGCCGGCCGGAUAAGUCUCUUGAGAAAUCUGGCAGCUUAACUGUCAGGCUUUCAGGAGAUACUGUCUGGCUCGAGGCCGGGAGAGGUGAGAGGUACUUCAGGGGUAGGGGUGAAAUCUUGUAAUCCUUGAAGGACCACCAGUGGCGAAGGCGUCUCACCAGAACGGACCUGACGGCAAGGGACGAAAGCUAGGGGCACGAACCGGAUUAGAUACCCGGGUAGUCCUAGCCGUAAACGAUACUCGCUAGGUGUCGGCCACGGUGCGACC
rnacentral:rRNA from 1 species